rnacentral:rRNA from 1 species
GAUGAACGCUAGCGGCAGGCUUAACACAUGCAAGUCGAGGGGUAGAGGAAGCUUGCUUCCUUGAGACCGGCGCACGGGUGCGUAACGCGUAUGCAACCUACCUUUUACAGAGGGAUAGCCCAGAGAAAUUUGGAUUAAUACCUCAUAGUAUAUAACCUUCGCAUGUUGGUUAUAUUAAAGUUCCAACGGUAAAAGAUGGGCAUGCGUCCUAUUAGCUAGAUGGUAAGGUAACGGCUUACCAUGGCAACGAUAGGUAGGGGUCCUGAGAGGGAGAUCCCCCACACUGGAACUGAGACACGGACCAGACUCCUACGGGAGGCAGCAGUGAGGAAUAUUGGACAAUGGGCGCAAGCCUGAUCCAGCCAUGCCGCGUGCAGGAAGAAGCAUCUAUGGUGUGUAAACUGCUUUUGUACAGGAAGAAACACCCCGACGUGUCGGGACUUGACGGUACUGUAAGAAUAAGGAUCGGCUAACUCCGUGCCAGCAGCCGCGGUAAAAC